rnacentral:rRNA from 1 species
AAUAGAUACCCCGGUAGUCCAUGCCGUAAACGUUGGGAACUAGAUGUGGGGACCAUUCCACGGUCUCCGUGUCGCAGCUAACGCAUUAAGUUCCCCGCCUGGGGAGUACGGCCGCAAGGCUAAAACUCAAAGGAAUUGACGGGGGCCCGCACAAGCGGCGGAGCAUGCGGAUUAAUUCGAUGCAACGCGAAGAACCUUACCAAGGCUUGACAUAGCCGAGAACGCUGCAGAGAUGUAGAACUCUUUGGACACUCGGUUACAGGUGGUGCAUGGUUGUCGUCAGCUCGUGUCGUGAGAUGUUGGGUUAAGUCCCGCAACGAGCGCAACCCUCGUCGUAUGUUGCCAGCACGUAAUGGUGGGAACUCAUAUGAGACUGCCGGGGUCAACUCGGAGGAAGGUGGGGAUGAGGUCAAAUCAUCAUGCCUCUUAUGUCUUGGGCUUCACGCAUGCUACAAUGGCCGGUACAAAGGGCUGCAAUACCGCGAGGUGGAGCGAAUCCCAAAAAGCCGGUCUCAGUUCGGAUUG